rnacentral:lncRNA from 1 species
AAAGAAAUUGAAGUGGACACGAAUAGGGAGGUAGGAUUUGUUGCUUCUGUGGAUGAUGCUAGGUCAGCUGCCCAUAUAGAUACCAAUGUUGAAGACGAUAGUCCCACUGUGCUGUCUAUGAAAAGAAAGCUUCAAGGUAAGUUGACCUAAAUAGUUCGUUUCGCUAUUUUUUACUACUUUGUUAUGGCUUUACAAUGUUGAAGAUGAUAGUCCCACUGUGCUGUCUAUGAAAAGAAAGCUUCAAGGUAAGUUGACCUAAAUAGUUCGUUUCGCUAUUUUUUACUACUUUGUUAUGGCUUUACAAUUUUCCUUUUGUGGAUUCUGAUUGCUAAAGUGUCACAAGAAUCUUAUUUGCUCUAAUUUUACUGGCUAUUAGGGGAUACUUCAAAGUAGAAAGAACAAUGAGUACAGAGAUUUGAGAAGCAUUCCCUGUAGGCUUUAUGCAUAUCCCGGCCGCACCUUUUUCAAGGAACACUUCUGUAUUUACAUUUCAUUCCUCUCAUGUCUUCGGACAUUGCAAUUAUUACGACUUUACAUUUUGUUUUUUUAUUCUGAUUGCUAAAGUGUCGCAAAAAUUUUAUUUGCCG